UACAGAGGGUGCAAGCGUUUGUUCGGAAUUACUGGGCGUAAAGCGCGUGUAGGCGGCAUGGUAAGUCUCGUGUGAAAGCCCUGGGCUCAACCCAGGAAGUGCGCGAGAUACUGCCGUGCUUGAGUGAUGGAGAGGAUGGCGGAAUUCCCGGUGUAGAGGUGAAAUUCGUAGAUAUCGGGAGGAACACCUGUGGCGAAGGCGGCCAUCUGGACAUUGACUGACGCUGAGACGCGAAAGCGUGGGUAGCAAACAGG
rnacentral:rRNA from 1 species